rnacentral:rRNA from 1 species
GGCGGGCGUUUGCCGCAUUCUGGCCGUAAAGCGUCGCGUACGCGGCUACUUAAGUCAGAUGUGAAAGCCCGGGGCUCACCCCGGAGGGGCCUUUGACACUGGGUUACUUGAAUCCAGGAGAGGAGAAUGGAAUUCCGAGUGUAGAGGUGAAAUUCGUAGAUAUUCGGAAGAACACCAGUGGCGAAGGCGACUCUCUGGACCGGACUGACCCGAAGGGCGAAAGCGUGGGGAGCAACAGGAUUAGAUACCCUGGUAGUCCACGCCGUAAACGAUGAGUGCUAGCUGCCGGGGGCUUCCGCCCUUCUGUGACGAAGCUAACGCAUUAAGUUACUCCGCCUGGGGAGUACGGCCGCAAGGUUAAAACUCCAAGGGAUUGACGGGGGCCUGCACCAGCCGGGGAGCAUGGGGUUAAUUCGAAGCCACCCCCAAAACCUUACCACGUUUGACUUCCUCUCACGAUUCUCAAAAUAUGGGCUUCUUCUUCUCGACUGGAUGACUGGUGGUGCUGCGUGGUUGUCGUCUCCUCUCGUCGAGUGUAUGUUGGGUUCCCCCCGCACCACCGCCUCCUCUCUUUGCUGCAUUAUUUGGUGCUCCUCGUGACUGCCGCCGGUGAUCGCAGGAGGAGGUGUGAUGACGUCCAUCCUCCCCUCCUUACUGGUCUACUACGUGCUGCUUGGUGGUACUACAGCUGCAGAACCUCGGAGGGCUACUUCCUCCACAGUCUCUCUCUCAUAUUGGCUCUGCUCUCUAAUAUGCUGGAUCUCUCUAUCUCGACACUGUCGCGGAAAAAAUCCCCGGCGUUUUGACCCCCCCCGCCCCCAGGUAGUGCAUCCUCGAGGCGUGAAUCUCUUGGGCGCCGCCCAGGGGACUAGAUCGGGAUACCCCCCCCCCCCCCCCCAAAAGCCGGGGGGGGCCAUUGGCGGGAGGGGGGCGGGGGGGGGGCG